AAGCGUUCAUAGCGACGU
rnacentral:snRNA from 1 species